AUGCAAUAUCUAAUGGCAUCUAGAUUUGUUGCCAGACUUGCAUCAGUUGAAAAACCAUGUCUCAUUGUUCCAGUUACUUCAUGCAAACUGGAAAUGUUCCAAUUCCUUUGUACUUGGUCUUUUAACUUGCGGAUGGAGACUGCUGUGCAGGAAGUACCUCUUCUAGUUUGUCUUGAAACCAUACAACAAUUAGGAAGUCUUCACUUAUCAAUGUAUACAUGCAGGCAAGGGUGCCAUUGCCUAAGAUUAACCGAUGGCUUUGACGAAGGGUGCCAUUUCAGUAUUCUUCAGGUUACUGAUUUGUCUAUGGUUCAUUACUCCUGCAUGCACAGCGAAAGAUAG
rnacentral:rRNA from 1 species